GCGAGUAUAUGAUUUGAAUGUCGAAUUUAUUUUCUCACGGAUUUUUUCUAUUAGUUUACGGGAUGCAGAGAGGACAAAUUGUUGUUGUAAAAUUGAUAUUCUUUCGUACUAUUUCUUUAUCUAUCAUUUAUAGUUCUUUUGAUGCGAGUUUGGAAGCUGAGGAGACGAGGGGAGAAAAGAGAGAAAGCUUCAUUUUCGAAAACUUAAAUUAUUUGGUUUCGGACUCACUGUUAUGAGAUUCCAAGAUUUCUAUUUGAAAAGCGAAAGCUUUGAGUUUUUGGGACUGAUUGGUACGCUUCAGUUACGCAUGCAAAUUCUUCAUGUAUGAUUUUCUUCCUUCAAGAGAAAGUUGUUGUUGGUGAUGUUUUAGUCGUUUGAUAAGGGCAUGAUAUAAGAGUAGCAACAAUCAGUGGCGGAAAUAGGCUUAUGAACCCAGCAGCAAAUUCACGAAGGUUUUCAAGAUUGUUAAUAUAGUUGGUUAAUAAGGGAAUUUGGAGUUGAUGAACGAAAUUUUCAAUAGGGACGUUUUCUAUUUGGAUUAGUGAGGAAAUGUGUGAAAUAAAAAUUAGGAUCCCAAAUUUGAAGAUCUGAUGAAAAUGAAAAUCCCAAGUCUCUUGGAGGGAAGAAAAUGGAAGAUGCUUUUAGGUUUGAUUUUGGUUGAUUCAGCAUUGGUUAGGGAUUAUGCAGCCUUUCUACAUCUUUGCAAGGGGUUCAAACUUCAGGCACUUGAUAAAGUCCAUUCUAUUGUUUGGGUAAUGUUUGCACGUAUUUGCUUUUUCUAUCUCAAGAACAUCCACAAUAAAUUACUGAACUUUAUCAAAUUAAUAAAUUCUAGGACCACAGAUGCUAUUAGUGGCUAGUUGGUUACACUAAAUUUGUCUCAUACAAGAUGCCUUAGCCUGUUACAGUGCAAUCCUAACAGUGAAAUCAUUCAGUGUUAUGUCAUGCGCAGCCCCUUUUUGUUCUGCAAAUUGCCUAUCCAUGGCAACAAGCAUCAUAAGUAAUGGCUGCAUUCAAAUCUAUUUUCAAUAAUUUUUCAUUGUAAACUUGGAAUUGGAAAAUAAUUGUGAUUAAAUAAUUUAUCAAAUGUUUAAACAAAGAUAAAAAUGCUGUAGUACUGUAAAAGUUAUAUUGUUGUAUUGCCCGUUACCUUUGAUUUUAUUGCUUAGUGUUAUAUUUUUCUUAUGCAGUUUCCGAUCUAUAAUCAUUUUAUUUAUUUGGUUUCCUAGCUUUUCUCUCCUUCAUGUGAUUGGAUUCUGCUGGUUAGUGGUGUUGGUGAAAUGAUCAAUCUUUUACUGUAACUUUGUCCUUGAUGUAAUUAUCAUAUUUUUGCAGGUUUUUCAUGGUCAGCCAAUGCCCACAACUGUGGCUGCGGCCCCUCAUCCACCCGCAGUGCGCCCCAGGGUCCGGGCUAGAAGAGGACAGGCCACAGAUCCACACAGCAUUGCUGAGCGGUUGCGUAGAGAAAGAAUAGCCGAAAGAAUCAGGGCAUUGCAGGAGUUGGUUCCUAGUGUAAACAAGGUGUGUCCUUUUCUGUUUGAUGUCUUGUUUAUGAAUUUAAAUGAGGCAUGGUUUCAGCUUCCAUAUUGUAGGCAAAAGCAUUCUGCACUUCAUGUUUGCCUCCUAUAAGGUAUAGAUAAACAUUGCCUCCUAAAUUCUCUGUAAUCCUCUAUCUGAAUAAAACACUCCAACUAUUCAGAAAAGCUUAUGAAAUUGAGGCAAUAACAAUUUUGAAACCUGUGGGUAAUGGCAUGUGAGAUUGUAGGCUAAAAGUUGGCGAAUAUAUAAUUUGCUAGCGGCACAAUGGCAUGGUUUGCAGUGUUAAUUACAGUUUAAAUAAUUGUAAUGGCCAGGAAUUGAUCCCAAGAUAUUUAAUUAUGAGUUUCUAUGUGCUGAUAUGUUGUUGCUGCCUAAUGAUAUAAAUGCCUCAACACCUACAAAUUUGUUAUCCUCCUAGGAAACAUCAGUAACCUGCUGAGUUUUGGUCAAAGGCAUAGAGUUGGUGGUAGUUCAAUCAAACUCACACGCCAAUGAACUUCUUAUAGUAGCAAGGUUUACUUUAACUGCUGAAAGUUAACUACUUAAGAACUUUGCUCCUCCCUGUCAUGCAGAAGAAUUUGAUAAAACAAAUGAUUUCACAAAUUAACCAUUUGGAUAACAUUCUUACCUAAAUUAUAAAUAUCACCUUUGUUCAGUGCUACUUUCUGAUAUAGUGUAGCUAAAAAUAGUUAAUUUUUGUAGAAACAGCUAGUGUUCCACAUGAUUGGGCUGCUUUCAUGCUUAUGUUUCUAUUGUUUAUAAUUAUCUACUUGUAUGAAAUGCAUUUAUUAUCAUUUCGAGACCAUGAUUCAAAUUAUAUAGAAAUUUUAUGGGCUUUUAUUGGAUAUUAUUGUACCUUUUCCACAGCUGUUAAGGUAUGAACUAUGAAGGAUUCUCACCAUAAACUUCCUUUGUUGUGCAUUUUGUUUUGUGCUGGCUUCAACCUUAUGCAAGGAUAAAGAGGACUUCUAUACUUUGAUAGAGCAAACUUUGUUCUGUACUUCAGUAUUUUUGCAAAUUACAGCUUAUCUGCAACUUUAUAUGCCUUAAUUUAGAAUGAAACAUAUAUAGAGCCUGAAAUGGACCGAGUGAAAAAAUGUUUAGGAUGUGGUUAUUAAAAGAAGAGGAGGGGGGAAGAAGCCAAAAACAGAUUCCUAGACAGCUGCAAAAUUAAAAUUUCUUAUGUUUGUGGCUUGUAUAAACUUUGGAUGGAGUCUGUUGUCUUAGUUUUAUAUUUAGAGAUUUAGUAAGUUUUGUGGUUAGAAUAUGGCUGAAGGAUGAGUUUUUUUGGUUGAUUAAGAGAAGAAAUUUUUUGAAGUUAUUUAUUAGAAAGUUUCUCUAAACAUAAUGCCCACUUCUUCCCUUCGUCUUUGAUGUGCAUUUUGUCUGUGCAGACGGAUAGAGCUGCCAUGCUUGAUGAAAUUGUGGAUUAUGUGAAGUUCCUAAGGCUCCAAGUAAAGGUUUUAAGCAUGAGUAGAUUGGGCGGAGCUGGUGCGGUUGCACCACUUGUAACGGACAUCCCACUAUCUUCAGUUGAGGAUGACACUGGUGAAGGUGGAAGAAACCAACCCGCCUGGGAGAAGUGGUCAAAUGAUGGUACGGAGCGACAGGUAGCUAAGCUUAUGGAAGAAAAUGUUGGUGCUGCAAUGCAGUUUCUCCAAUCAAAGGCUCUGUGCAUAAUGCCUGUCUCUCUGGCCACAGCAAUUUACCAUGCGCAGCCACCGGAAACCUCAACUAUUUUAAAACCAGAAACAAAUCCCCAGUCAUAGACCUUACUAAGGGGUAAGCAUCCCAUAGACCUAUCUAAAAGUCGCCAAAUGCUUGGGGUCCUGCAUCGUGUUUGUCCCGUUCCAACUCCCACAAAUAGAUGUUCGCUAAUUUUUCAAAUUGCAAUCAAAGUCAGAUGCCAUAGUUCUUUGCUUUUGCCUUUCCUUUCCAGCUUUUUUCCAGACAGGGUUCGAUAUCAAUGCCUAAAAAAAUGCAGGCAGGCCCUUGAUGUUCUGCCAAGUUCAAGUGAAAGAGAAGAAUUGUCAAAGCUCAUUUGAUACGCUCUUCUUUAUGGUAUCAGUGGUGGGGAUAGUGGGAAAUGAUGGAGCACUUUUCUAGUGAUUUUCGGUAGUGGCUGUGGGACCUUGUAAAAAGGGGAAGAGGGUAUAUAUAUAUAAAAAAAAAUUAAAAAAAAAAAUAAAAAAAAAAA
rnacentral:misc_RNA from 1 species